AAUAUUGGACAAUGGGCGAAAGCCUGAUCCAGCCAUGCCUCGUGUGUGAAGAAGGGCUUCGGAUUGUAAAGCACUUUAAUUUGGGAGGAAGGGUUGUAGGUUAAUACCCUGCAAUAUUGACGGUACCAACAGAAUCAGCAUCUGCUAACUUCGUGCCAUCAGCCGCGGUAAUACGAAGGGUGCAAACGUUAAUAGGAAUUACUGGGAGUAAAGCGCGCGUAGGUGGUUCGUUAAGUUGGAAGUGAAAGCGCCGGGCUUAACCUGGGAAUUGCUUUCAAAAAGGACGAGCUAGAGUACGGUAGAGGGUAGUGGAAUUUCCUGUGUAGCGGUGAAAUGCGUAGAUAUAGGAAGGAACAUCAGUGGCGAAGGCGACUACCUGGACUGAUACUGACACUGAGGUGCGAAAGCGUGGGGAGCAAACAGG
rnacentral:rRNA from 1 species